AAUACCACCCUUUAAUGUUUGAUGUUCUAACGUGGACCCGUGAUCCGGGUUGCGGACAGUGUCUGGUGGGUAGUUUGACUGGGGCGGUCUCCUCCUAAAGAGUAACGGAGGAGCACGAAGGUUGGCUAAUCCUGGUCGGACAUCAGGAGGUUAGUGCAAUGGCAUAAGCCAGCUUGACUGCGAGCGUGACGGCGCGAGCAGGUGCGAAAGCAGGUCAUAGUGAUCCGGUGGUUCUGAAUGGAAGGGCCAUCGCUCAACGGAUAAAAGGUACUCCGGGGAUAACAGGCUGAUACCGCCCAAGAGUUCAUAUCGACGGCGGUGUUUGGCACCUCGAUGUCGGCUCAUCACAUCCUGGGGCUGAAGUAGGUCCCAAGGGUAUGGCUGUUCGCCAUUUAAAGUGGUACGCGAGCUGGGUUUAGAACGUCGUGAGACAGUUCGGUCCCUAUCUGCCGUGGGCGCUGGAGAACUGAGGGGGGCUGCUCCUAGUACGAGAGGACCGGAGUGGACGCAUCACUGGUGUUCGGGUUGUCAUGCCAAUGGCACUGCCCGGUAGCUAAAUGCGGAAGAGAUAAGUGCUGAAAGCAUCUAAGCACGAAACUUGCCCCGAGAUGAGUUCUCCCUGAGACUUUAAGUCUCCUGAAGGAACGUUGAAGACGACGACGUUGAUAGGCCGGGUGUGUAAGCGCAGCGAUGCGUUGAGCUAACCGGUACUAAUGAACCGUGAGGCUUAACCUUACAACGCCGAAG
rnacentral:rRNA from 1 species